rnacentral:tRNA from 1 species
CAGGGAGACAACAAAAUGUUUAAUAUUAUUAUUUUGUCACCUUAGGUCGAUCGGUAUCUCACAUUCUUAAUUUAUUAAGAAUUUCAUUUCCUAAGUUUUUCUAGGUCACACCCAUUUUUUUCCUGGUCCAUUAGCUCAGGUGGUUAGAGCGCACCCCUGAUAAGGGUGAGGUCCCUGGUUCAAGUCCAGGAUGGCCCAUAUCUCUAUGUUGGGGGUAUAGCUCAGUUGGUAGAGCGCCUGCUUUGCAAGCAGGAUGUCAGCGGUUCGAGUCCGCUUACCUCCACUGAUUACCACCUCUUCCAUAAUCUGUAGAAAGGAAAUGUUUUGAGUUGUGAUCAAUUCUGAACGAAUCUAGCUUCCUAAUGAAAUCAUUAAGAUGCUGGACUCAUUGAAUUAAUUUCAUUGUUUUCAGAGAACCUUGACAACUGCAUAGAUUAUUUUUAAAGACAAUAAGCAUCUUUUAAUGAUGCAGAUUUAUUAUUGGUGCAAAUGCAUUAAUAACAAUUCUAUUAAGCUGAUGCUUCAAUUAUUGAAGUUAUU